ACGGGAGGCAGCAGUGGGGAAUAUUGCACAAUGGGGGAAACCCUGAUGCAGCGACGCCGCGUGAGUGAUGACGUAUUUCGGUAUGUAAAGCUCUAUCAGCAGGGAAGAUAAUGACGGUACCUGACUAAGAAGCCCCGGCUAACUACGUGCCAGCAGCCGCGGUAAUACGUAGGGGGCAAGCGUUAUCCGGAUUUACUGGGUGUAAAGGGAGUGCAGGCGGUUCUUUAAGUCUGAUGUGAAAACCCAAGGCUCAACCAUGGGAUUGCAUUGGAAACUGGGGGACUAGAGUAUCGGAGAGGUAAGCGGAAUUCCUAGUGUAGCGGUGAAAUGCGUAGAUAUUAGGAGGAACACCAGUGGCGAAGGCGGCUUACUGGACGAUUACUGACGCUGAGGCUCGAAAGCGUGGGGAGCAAACAGGAUUAGAUACCCUGGUA
rnacentral:rRNA from 1 species